UACGAAGGGGGCUAGCGUUGCUCGGAAUCACUGGGCGUAAAGGGUGCGUAGGCGGGUGUUUAAGUCAGCGGUGAAAGCCUGGAGCUCAACUCCAGAACUGCCUUUGAUACUGGCAAUCUCGAGUCCGGGAGAGGUGAGUGGAACUGCGAGUGUAGAGGUGAAAUUCGUAGAUAUUCGCAAGAACACCAGUGGCGAAGGCGGCUCACUGGCCCGGUACUGACGCUGAGGUGCGAAAGCGUGGGGAGCAAACAGG
rnacentral:rRNA from 1 species